CUGCUCACUUCAGCAGCACAUAUACUAAAAUUGGAACGAUACAGAAAAGAUUAGCAUAGCCCCUGUGCAAGGAUGACACGCAAAUUCAUGAAGCAUUCCAUAUUUUU
rnacentral:snRNA from 3 species